rnacentral:rRNA from 1 species
AGCUUMCACAUGCAAGUCGAACGGUAACAGGUUAAGCUGACGAGUGGCGAACGGGUGAGUAAUAUAUCGGAACGUGCCCAGUAAUGGGGGAUAGCCCGGCGAAAGCCGGAUUAAUACCGCAUACGACCUACGGGUGAAAGCAGGGGAUCGCAAGACCUUGCGUUAUUGGAGCGGCCGAUAUCAGAUUAGCUUGUUGGUGGGGUAAAAGCCCACCAAGGCGACGAUCUGUAGCUGGUCUGAGAGGACGACCAGCCACACUGGGACUGAGACACGGCCCAGACUCCUACGGGAGGCAGCAGUGGGGAAUUUUGGACAAUGGACGCAAGUCUCAUCCAGCCAUGCCGCGUGCGGGAAGAAGGCCUUCGGGUUGUAAACCGCUUUUGUCAGGGAAGAAAAGUUCUGGGCUAAUACCCUGGGAUGAUGACGGUACCUGAAGAAUAAGCACCGGCUAACUACGUGCCAGCAGCCGCGGUAAUACGUAGGGUGCAAGCGUUAAUCGGAAUUACUGGGCGUAAAGCGUGCGCAGGCGGUUCUAUAAGACAGAUGUGAAAUCCCCGGGCUCAACCUGGGAACUGCAUUUGUGACUGUAGAGCUGGAGUACGGUAGAGGGGGAUGGAAUUCCGCGUGUAGCAGUGAAAUGCGUAGAUAUGCGGAGGAACACCGAUGGCGAAGGCAAUCCCCUGGACCUGUACUGACGCUCAUGCACGAAAGCGUGGGGAGCA